rnacentral:rRNA from 1 species
UGCCUACCAUGCAGUCGAACGAUGCUUUCGGGCAUAGUGGCGCACGGGUGCGUAACGCGUGGGAAUCUGCCCUUAGGUUCGGAAUAACAGUUAGAAAUGACUGCUAAUACCGGAUGAUGACGUUAAGUCCAAAGAUUUAUCGCCUGAGGAUGAGCCCGCGUAGGAUUAGCUAGUUGGUGUGGUAAAGGCGCACCAAGGCGACGAUCCUUAGCUGGUCUGAGAGGAUGAUCAGCCACACUGGGACUGAGACACGGCCCAGACUCCUACGGGAGGCAGCAGUGGGGAAAUAUUGGACAAUGGGCGCAAGCCUGAUCCAGCGAUGCCGCGUGAGUGAUGAAGGCCUUAGGGUUGUAAAGCUCUUUUACCCGAGAUGAUAAUGACAGUAUCGGGAGGAUAAGCCCCGGCUAACUCCGUGCCAGCAGCCGCGGUAAUACGGAGGGGGCUAGCGUUGUUCGGAAUUACUGGGCGUAAAGCGCACGUAGGCGGCUUUUGUAAGUUAAAGGUGAAAGCCGGAGCUCACUCCAGAACUGCCUUUUAAGACUGCAUCGCUUGGAUCCAGGAGAGGUGAGUGGAAUUCCGAAGUGUAGAGGUGAAAUUCGUAAAUAUCGGAAGAACACCGUGGCGAAGGCGGCUCACUGGACUGGUAUUGACGCUGAGGUGCGAAAGCGUGGGGA